GGGAGUGAAAAAGAACCUGAAACCGUGUACGUACAAGCAGUGGGAGCACGCUUCGGCGUGUGACUGCGUACCUUUUGUAUAAUGGGUCAGCGACUUAUAUUCUGUAGCAAGGUUAACCGAAUAGGGGAGCCGAAGGGAAACCGAGUCUUAACUGGGCGUUAAGUUGCAGGGUAUAGACCCGAAACCCGGUGAUCUAGCCAUGGGCAGGUUGAAGGUUGGGUAACACUAACUGGAGGACCGAACCGACUAAUGUUGAAAAAUUAGCGGAUGACUUGUGGCUGGGGGUGAAAGGCCAAUCAAACCGGGAGAUAGCUGGUUCUCCCCGAAAGCUAUUUAGGUAGCGCCUCGUGAAUUCAUCUCCGGGGGUAGAGCACUGUUUCGGCAAGGGGGUCAUCCCGACUUACCAACCCGAUGCAAACUGCGAAUACCGGAGAAUGUUAUCACGGGAGACACACGGCGGGUGCUAACGUCCGUCGUGAAGAGGGAAACAACCCAGACCGCCAGCUAAGGUCCCAAAGUCAUGGUUAAGUGGGAAACGAUGUGGGAAGGCCCAGACAGCCAGGAUGUUGGCUUAGAAGCAGCCAUCAUUUAAAGAAAGCGUAAUAGCUCACUGGUCGAGUCGGCCUGCGCGGAAGAUGUAACGGGGCUAAACCAUGCACCGAAGCUGCGGCAGCGACACUAUGUGUUGUUGGGUAGGGGAGCGU
rnacentral:rRNA from 1 species